AUUGAACGCUGGCGGCAGGCCUAACACAUGCAAGUCGAACGAGUGGAGGACGGGUGAGUAAUGUAUGGGAAACUGCCUAAUGGCGGGGGAAAACUACUGGAAACGGUAGCUAAUACCCCAUACCCUCUGACGUGCGCAGAUGGGAUGAGCUAGUAGGUGGGGUAACGUCUCACCUAGGCGACGAUCCCUAGCCGGUCUGAGAGGAUGACCGGCCACACGGGAACUGAGACACGGUCCAGACUCCUACGGGAGGCAGCAGUGGGGAAUAUUUCGCAAUGGGCGCAAGCCUGAUGCAGCAAUGCCGCGUGAUUGAAGAAGGCCUUCGGGUUGUAAAGCACUUUCAGCGGGGAGGCGUUACCCGCAGAAGAAGCAACGGCUAACUCCGUGCCAGCAGCCGCGGUAAUAC
rnacentral:rRNA from 1 species